UACGUAGGCAGCAAGCGUUGUUCGGAGUUACUGGGCGUAAAGGGUGCGUAGGCGGUCGGGUAAGUCUGAUGUGAAAUCUCACAGCUUAACUGUGAAACUGCAUUGGAUACUAUCCGGCUAGAGGAAUGGAGGGGAGACUGGAAUACUUGGUGUAGCAGUGAAAUGCGUAGAUAUCAAGUGGAACACCAGUGGCGAAGGCGAGUCUCUGGACAUUUCCUGACGCUGAGGCACGAAAGCCAGGGGAGCAAACGGG
rnacentral:rRNA from 1 species